rnacentral:lncRNA from 1 species
CAACGAGCGCAACCUGCUGGGCCUUAGAGAAAGCUGUGCCUGUGUGGAGGAAGGGGGCUGCUGUCACAUCCCACGGCUGUAAGCCAACCCCACGGAAGGGCUGGGUAGAACAAGGGGUACAUUUUUAAACGUCGAACACGAUUAGACUUUGGAACAACUUAAGGACCGUGGGAGAAGCCCCGUGCUUCGAGUUAGGCAGGAGGUCAGUCCGGAUAAUCACGCUGCCCCCUUCGGUUUCAUAGUGAAUAAUCAACUGAGAUUGCUUCUUUGUGGUGCUUCUUCCGGAGGGACGAAUACUGCCAUAUGCUCUGCGUGCUUCGUUCAGAGACGCUUAAAACUAUUCUUCCUGAGUGUGGCAAAACUUGAAAGAAAGCAAACCUAAAAGCCUGGAAUUUCAUCUGCAUGCCUACAGCAACUGGAUUCUAUCAGCAACUCACACUAUCAGGAAGAAGGCUUCAUCAGAUGAGAGCAGACCUCCUGCUCACUGCCUCUUAGGUAAUCAG